rnacentral:misc_RNA from 1 species
UUAAAAAAAAAAAAAAUACAACACCCUUUCAAACCUCUAUUAAAACAUUGCAUGACACAACUAAAUUAAAACCCUUUGUCAAUAAAUAAUUUCUGUCAACACCACCACCACUGAAAAUCUCAGCCAAUUCCAGAGUUGAUGAAAGGGAAAAUGAAGCACAUCCACCUCGACACACAAGCUAUUAAUGAGAAAGAGAAUUCAUAGGUAUAAUAUGCCAUAAAAAAAUGCAAGAAAACCCGAAUUAUGCCAUCUGAACUUUCCCAAUGGUUUAGGAAUCAAAAUCUCACCCCUCAUCAGAACUUGAAGAAAAGUCCAUAGUAGCCUAUGAAUAUGAAGGCAACUCCCACAAUAUGCAGUACCCUAGGAGGAAGGCAGUUUCCAAAUUAUAUGUUGCCUCAUGAGUAGCUCAUGGAUCAAAUACAAUGGCCAUGUAUUUUUUAUUUCACGUGGCAAAUCUUGGUAACAAUUGUUGUCAUAUAUGUGUUCAGCAUUCAACUCCACUGAUGUGCAGCGAGAUUAGGUCAACCCUAGCAUAUGCAGUUAAAGUUUGUAACUACAUUACUAGAUGUUAACCAUGAUUUCUAAAAUAGUGGAAAUACCACAACGCAUCCAAGGCCAUUUUUCAGAACAUUUGAAGCAAAAAAUUUGGACAGAGAUUUCAGUUUCCAACAUACAAAAUCCUCUGCAGAACAUUAGGUACCAAUGAAGAAUGCAGAUUGUCAAAUCCUCAUGCAAACUACUAAAUCAUAUGCCAACUAGAAAUGGAAGCAGUAUAGCGAAAUGCUGAAACUAUUUUUCUAUAAAAUAAAUUUACAAACCAAACAAACAAGUCAUCAUAUGCCAUCUAGAAAUAGAAGCAGUAUAGGGAGCUGCUGAAACUAUACUUCUAUGAAAUAAAUUAAAAAAAUUAAACAAGUAUUAUGCAUUAGCCAAAACCAUCCAACAUUCAUUUUGCUACCCUCAACAAGCUCCACAUUGUUGUCAUGCAUUCAGAUUCCGCCAAAUAACCACGAAAUCCAGAAAUUUGGGUCAAAUGGCCCGAUUUAAAUAACCCCCUAAUAUACUAAAUUUCCCCUAGCUAACAAACUCUUCACAGGGAUCAAAUUUAAGACAAAAGGAAAGUCAAUGAUGCGAAUGAGUUUUCAAAUGUACAAUCGUCCUACCCAUUUGUACAACAAUAAUAAAACAGGCUAACACACACAUCACAAAGGCCUCCUUUCAUAGGGUAUAUCCCAAGAGUAAAAUAAAAUGUGUAAUCAUAUUCUUUGACACUCACUGAUCAAACAGAAAGCUGUAUAGGCACUGAUAACUUGAAAAAUCAGGUUCACAAACCCCAACAACAACAAAAUGCAUUGAAAUAAGAAGAUAAACUAACAAGAACUUAAUAUAUCCUAUACAUUACAACGGAAAUAAAUAUUCCUUUCCAAUUAACUACUGUUCAAGCACACAUUUGCACGUCAAAAAUUUACAAUACCAAAGUGUCUAAUCAAAAUAAUAAUCAUAAUAAAAAAACUAAUAGCUCAAAAAUCAAAAUGCAAAUAGAUCCAAUUAACUGAAACAAAGACAAAGUGGAAAAAAACCAAUCAUGGAUACCAGAAACCUAUAGUAUAUCCCAAUAUUUAUCGCAUGAUGAAGCAAAUUCAAUAUUAUCCAACAUCUAACGGUAAUCAUAACCAACAAACACCAUUGCCAUCUAAAAAGAGAAUUGCGUUGGGAAUGCUUACCAAAUGAAGAGACUCGAGAUCGAAUUGA